rnacentral:rRNA from 1 species
GCGGUCGCCUCCCAAAAGGUAACGGAGGCGCUCAAAGGUUCUCUCAGUACGGUCGGAAAUCGUACGUAGAGGGUAAAGGCAAAAGAGAGCUUGAUUGCAAGACAUACAGGUCGAGCAAGGAUGAAAAGCGGACUUAGUGAUCCGGUGGUGCUGCGUGGAAGGGCCAUCGCUCAACGGAUAAAAGCUACCCUGGGGAUAACAGGCUUAUCUCCCCCAAGAGUCCACAUCGACGGGGAGGUUUGGCACCUCGAUGUC